rnacentral:misc_RNA from 1 species
UGAGUCAUCGAAAUUUUGAACGCAUAUUGCACUUCCGGGUUAGUCCUGGGAGUAUGCCUGUAUCAGUGUCCGUACAUCAAACUUGGCUCUCUUCCUUCCGUGUAGUCGGUGGAUGGGGACGCCAGACGUGAGGUGUCUUGCGGGUGGCCUUCGGGCUGCCUGCGAGUCCCUUGAAAUGUACUGAACUGUACUUCUCUUUGCUCGAAAAGCGUGACGUUGUUGGUUGUGGAGGCUGCCUGUGUGGCCAGUCGGCGACCGGUUUGUCUGCUGCGGCGUUUAAUGGAGGAGUGUUCGAUUCGCGGUAUGGUUGGCUUCGGCUGAACAAUGCGCUUAUUGGACGUUCUUCCUGCUGUGGCGGUACGGAUCGGUGAACCGUAGGUGUGCGAGGCUUGGCCUUUGAACCGGCGGUGUUGGUCGCGAAGUAGGGUGGCGGCUUCGGCUGUCGAGGGGUCGAUCCAUUUGGGAACUUGUGUCUCUGCGGCGCGCUUCGGUGUGCUGCGGGUGGCAUCUCAAUUGGACCUGAUAUCG